ensembl:misc_RNA 7SK 7SK RNA
AGAUGUCAGGGUGAUCUGGCUAGGAAAUCUGUCAUUCCAUUGAUCGCCAGGGUUGAUUCAGCUGAUCUGGCUGGCUAGGCAAGCAUCCCCUUCCUCCCUCACCAUUCCAUGUGUGUUCCUCCUGAAGCUGCACGCUGAGUCAAAGAGAAUGGUUAUCCCCCAUAGAGCAGGACCAGUCUUGGAUCAAGGGUAUCUGAGCAGUUGCACUCCCCUGCAAAUGCCUCCAAACAAGCUCUCAGGAAAUCAUUUCCCCUUCUCCCCAGGGUUUUCUUACAGAAGCAUUACGGUUAUGGGUUUUGCCUCAAGGUCUAUGAUGUAGCUGGAAUUCAGUUUUGUGUAAGGA